rnacentral:rRNA from 1 species
ACUCCUACGGGAGGCAGCAGUGGGGAAUAUUGCACAAUGGGGAAACCCGUAGCUGNAGCCAUGCCGCGUGUGUGAAGAAGGCCUUCGGGUUGUAAAAGUACUUUCAGCAGUGAGGAAGGCGGGUACGUUAAUAGCGUGCUCGUUUGACGUUAGCUGCAGAAGAAGCACCGGCUAACUCCGUGCCAGCAGCCGCGGUAAUACGGAGGGUGCGAGCGUUAAUCGGAAUUACUGGGCGUAAAGCGCAUGCAGGUGGUUUGUUAAGUCAGAUGUGAAAGCCCGGGCUU